GACGAACGCUGGCGGCGUGCUUAACACAUGCAAGUCGAACGGAAAGGCCCUGCUUUUGUGGGGUGCUCGAGUGGCGAACGGGUGUGUAACACGUGAGUAACCUGCCCUUGACUUUGGGAUAACUUCAGGAAACUGGGGCUAAUACCGGAUAGGAGCUCCUGCUGCAUGGUGGGGGUUGGAAAGUUUCGGCGGUUGGGGAUGGACUCGCGGCUUAUCAGCUUGUUGGUGGGGUAGUGGCUUACCAAGGCUUUGACGGGUAGCCGGCCUGAGAGGGUGACCGGCCACAUUGGGACUGAGAUACGGCCCAGACUCCUACGGGAGGCAGCAGUGGGGAAUAUUGCACAAUGGGCGGAAGCCUGAUGCAGCAACGCCGCGUGCGGGAUGACGGCCUUCGGGUUGUAAACCGCUUUCGCCUGUGACGAAGCGUGAGUGACGGUAAUGGGUAAAGAAGCACCGGCUAACUACGUGCCAGCAGCCGCGGUGAUACGUAGGGUGCGAGCGUUGUCCGGAUUUAUUGGGCGUAAAGGGCUCGUAGGUGGUUGAUCGCGUCGGAAGUGUAAUCUUGGGGCUUAACCCUGAGCGUGCUUUCGAUACGGGUUGACUUGAGGAAGGUAGGGGAGAAUGGAAUUCCUGGUGGAGCGGUGGAAUGCGCAGAUAUCAGGAGGAACACCAGUGGCGAAGGCGGUUCUCUGGGCCUUUCCUGACGCUGAGGAGCGAAAGCGUGGGGAGCGAACAGGCUUAGAUACCCUGGUAGUCCACGCUGUAAACGGUGGGUACUAGGUGUGGGGUCCAUUCCACGGGUUCCGUGCCGUAGCUAACGCUUUAAGUACCCCGCCUGGGGAGUACGGCCGCAAGGCCAAAACUCAAAGGAAUUGACGGGGCCCCGCACAAGCGGCGGAGCAUGCGGAUUAAUUCGAUGCAACGCGUAGAACCUUACCUGGGUUUGACAUGGAUCGGGAGUGCUCAGAGAUGGGUGUGCCUCUUUUGGGGUCGGUUCACAGGUGGUGCAUGCCUGUCGUCAGCUCGUGUCGUGAGAUGUUGGGUUAAGUCCCGCAACGAGCGCAACCCUUGUUCACUGUUGCCAGCACGUUAUGGUGGGGACUCAGUGGAGACCGCCGGGGUCAACUCGGAGGAAGGUGGGGAUGACGUCAAGUCCUCAUGCCCCUUAUGUCCAGGGCUUCACGCAUGCUACAAUGGCUGGUACAGAGAGUGGCGAGCCUGUGAGGGUGAGCGAAUCUCGGAAAGCCGGUCUCAGUUCGGAUUGGGGUCUGCAACUCGACCUCAUGAAGUCGGAGUCGCUAGUAAUCGCAGAUCAGCAACGCUGCGGUGAAUACGUUCCCGGGGCU
rnacentral:rRNA from 1 species